ensembl:processed_transcript Gm12592 predicted gene 12592
AAUGGCAAAGAUGGAGCUGCAAGCCUCUAGCAAGGAAGGAGAGAGAGAAGAAUGCUUUCGUAGGAUAACGAGAAAAGCAGCCAAAACCUUCCUUCCCUGUCGGCCUGACCACGUUUGGGGGAUCUGCUUCAUUUAAGUUGCUGCAGAAAGGGGGAGAAAACGUAAUCUCACCUCCAGAUCCAUAGGCUUCCAGAAGCAUGUUGCUGAGAAGAAAUGUGUGUACCCAAGCCAAUAGCAUCCUCGUCUCUUCGGCUCGCAGCAUUGCUCAGCAGUCCCCAGCGGCUGUUCUGUGGGGACACAGCAUGUCUCACUUCCCUUCAGGCCCCAUGGGCUGCUGGUCCACCUCAGGAUCCACUAAAGAUGAUGCAAACGCUGACUGAACAAUCUGAAAUCCAAAGGACUCAAGAAGAGACAUGUUCUGCUGGGGAGAGAAAGGUGAACCAAGGGCAGGGCCCAGGUCCCCCAAGGGACCCCCAAGGGCACGGACAUGCACCUUCUGGAUGUGUUUGUUCAAGUAGGACUUAGAACGGAAGAAGCUCCCACAUUCAGGGCAUGGGUACUUCUUCUCCCCGUCAGACUCCAUUUUGUUUUUAGGACCUGCUGCGUCGCAGGAGAAGGAGCCGUUGGCACUCUGUUUCUCUGGUGUCUUCAGGUCACUGGCGUCUGAGAGGUCGCCGUAGGAAUCGGAGCUCUCAAUCAGAUCCUGAUGUGAGCAUUUCUGGCCUUCUAUGACAAAACAAAACAGGGCAGAGAUGAGGCCAGGCAUUAGAGCCAUCCCCUCCUGGAGGGACCAUGACAGGCCAGCUCACAGGCCCUGGAGGGCCAACCCUGGCCAGUCACUAACCUGGCAGAACCCAUGGAGGUUUGGCUGGUCUGAGUAGGAGCAUGGAAUGCCUGUAGGGGCAAGAUGACAGUGCCCUGGAGCCACCAGCCUCCCUCACUAUAGGCUCUAAAUGAGGAUGUGUGUGUAGACUUCACCAUCACCUCAGCCUGCUUCAAGGGAGGAAGGCCAAGGAGGGAUCCCCUUACUGGGUUGUCAGAACAACCCAGAGAUCCCCAAUCUCUAGGUGCUUCCAGAGGUGCCUCCAGGAGUAAAACUGUUCUGAUUAUGAUGAGCAGGGAUCAUUGGCUUGUCCCUGCGCUACACCAGUGGCUACCUUCACAAAGCAGGCAGAACGAGAACCAUGAGUUCCUCUACUCAGCUAGAUCCUACUGAUGGCUCACAUGGCAACCAACGCUUAUACAAAGCCCACAUUUCCAUUUCUGCAAAGCCCUUUCCAGGGCCAUACAGCCAAAGCACACAGAUGAAAAGCGACCCUGCACAGCUCUGUCAGCUGGGGAGCCCAUCUAGACCAAGACAUGGAUGUUCCUCACUGUCCUACCUUGCCUGGCCCACUCUGGGGUCUACUACCAACUACCAGCUUCCUGCCUGGGUCCAGAGAGCCAUUCCAAGAUGGGAGGUCUGUGAUGGGAGCAUGGGGCAUGCCAUCUCUACCAUCCGCCAUGUCCUGGCAAAAAGGCAACAGCAUGACACCCCAAACACCAUGAACCAACAAGUUAACAAUGAGCCUGGAAACUCUUGUCACACCAAUUCCAAACCAGAGACAAUCAGGUACUCAUUUACUGCCAUGCAUCUCACAAAUGCAGCCACUUAUGACAACCGACCACCGAUAUCAUAGAAAAGCCAGCCGCUGGCUCCCACCCACCCACAAGAUCAACCAAGAAGAAAGCAUUCAGCACCAGGUCCACACAGGUCCUACAGGGCAAUAGGCAGUAUCUAAGCCCAGAGUAACUCGUCAUGCAGUGCUCCUCUUCCUGCCCUAGGGCAACCCUGUAGGGCUCCAGUCAAUGGGGGCUAGCCAAGAUGAAGGAAGAAGGCUGGGGAAGAGGAGGCAGGCUGGAUCAGCAGUACCCUAAAGCCUCACUCACUGUCCUGGAGUGAGAAACCCAUGGCAAACUUUGUCCUAGAGAGAGCACUGCAAUUCUUGCCUCCCCACCACCCGGCCCAGCGCCCCCACAACACAGUCUGCGCAGAGAAGCAAAGUGCAGAGCAAGGGGUCGCUUGCCUUUGUUGCCAUAGGUCCUGGCGCAGUGGAACGCUGCUCCCCCAUUCAGGAUGGGUUCCUGGUGCCUGGAGACCUGGGGAAGGGGAACACCGUGGUGGGUUUUAACAUGGACCUUUAAGUAGGAGGCAGAGGAGAAACCUAAACAAGACAAAAGGAGAUGAGAUCCCACAGCCAGCAAGAGAUAGCUCUCUGCUCCCCAUGCCUUUUCUUUGGCAGCUCUGGCUAGCAUUCCCUGGUCAGCUGCACCUGGAAGGGGUUCUCUCCUUGGCUCAAAAGCAUCUGCAAUCAUCACAUGAGGCCAUGAGGUUCAGAACGGAGAGCUCCACUGUCCAUGAAUCAGUCAGCUUCUCUGCCAAGGCUACAUUGAAGGGCCCAGGCCAGCCAUCUUGGCUCACUUGGUGCCACAGUACCAGGUGGUUUGAGUAGAUGUCCCACAGGCCCAUGUCAGCUGCAGAGACCGUGGCUAGAAAUGUGAUCAGACAAGUAUAUGGUACUCCAGCCAGCAGAAGCCUGCUUAUAAUAUAAGGAAAACCAGAUGGAGACAAGUGAAGUCCCCAAGGAAUGAAUGCUUCCAGGGGUCCCCUUUCUUCUACCUGUUGGAGCAUACUUUAUUUUAACUUUUCCGCCUUCAGAACAAUGACUUAAGAGCCGAUUCCACCCUUUGAAGAACGGAGGCAGCUUGUGUGACAUCAUGGUCAUCCCUUAUCCAUGGUGGUCUUUUCAGUUUGGUUUUGGAAAAUCCAUCGAGUACACCCAGAAUGAUCUCUCGCCAUCUUGAAGUAGGCUCCACUUUACACCUCACUCAUGCUUUGGUCAGUUUAAGGCGUAAGUAUCUCAAGUUGGAAGCUCAGAUCUUGGGCCAUUUCCACAAAUGUAACAAGGCCUUUGGAGGAUGACAGCCACAAAAAUCAGGCAAUAAAAUGACUUGUUUCAC